rnacentral:rRNA from 1 species
UACGAAGGGGGCUAGCGUUGCUCGGAAUCACUGGGCGUAAAGCGCACGUAGGCGGAUCUUUAAGUCAGGGGUGAAAUCCCAAGGCUCAACCUUGGAACUGCCUUUGAUACUGGGGAUCUCGAUCCGGAAGAGGUGAGUGGAACUGCGAGUGUAGAGGUGAAAUUGUAGAUAUUCGAAGAACACCAGUGGCGAGGCGCUACUGGUCCGUACUGGACG